GUCCCUGGAGCCAGACGGUAAGGCAGUGGUCUGCAAAACCACUAUAGCGGGGUCAGUACCCGCCGGGGACU
rnacentral:tRNA from 1 species